rnacentral:rRNA from 1 species
GUGGGGAAUUUUGGACAAUGGGCGCAAGCCUGAUCCAGCAAUGCCGCGUGAGUGAUGAAGGCCUUCGGGUUGUAAAGCUCUUUAGCCGAUGAUUAUAAUGACUGUAGUCGGAAAAUAAGCCCCGGCUAACUUCGUGCCAGCAGCCGCGGUAAUACGAAGGGGGCGAGCGUUAUUCGGAAUCACUGGGCGUAAAGCGUGCGUAGGCGGCUUUGCAAGUUGGGAGUGAAAGCCCAGGGCUCAACCCUGGAAUUGCUCUCAAAACUGCAAGGCUCGAAUUCGGGAGAGGAUAGCGGAAUUGUCAGUGUAGCAGUGAAAUGCGUAGAUAUUGACAGGAACACCAGUGGCGUAAGCGGCUAUCUGGACCGAUAUUGACGCUGAGGCACGAAAGCGUGGGGAUCAAACAGGAUUAGAUACCCUUGUAGUCC